rnacentral:rRNA from 1 species
CCAUCCCGCAAGGCUAAAUACUCUCUGGUGACCGAUAGCGAACGAGUAGCGCGAGCGAAAGAUGGGAAGAACCCCGACAAGGGGAGGACACUGAACCUGAAACCACAUGCCUACAAGCGGUGGGAGCCCUAUGCCCGCAAGGGAACGGGUGACCGCGUGCCUUUUGCAUAAUGAUCCGGCGACUUACCGUAACCAGCCAGGUUAAGGGCCUCUGGUCCGAAGCCGAAGCGAAAGCGAGUCUUAAACGGGCGUCAAGUUGGGUGCGGUAGACGCGAAACCACGUGACCUACGCAUGGCCAGGAUGAAGUGAGAGUAACAUCUCAUGGAAGACCGAACUCAUUUGGGUUGAAAACCGAUGGGAUGAGCUGUGUGGGGGAGUGAAAGUCUAAUCAAACGUGGAGAUAGCUCGUUCUCUCCGAAAUAACUUUAGGGUUAGCGUUCGGAUAGUUGGCGCUGGGGGUAGAGCGACUGAUUUCGAACGGGGGCCUACCCGGCUACCCGUCGAAGCCAAACUCCGAAUACCAGCGUUCAAGUCCGGGCAGCUAGACGGUGGGGGAUAAGCUUCAUCGUCGAGAGGGGAACAACCCAGAUCACCCGCUAAGGUCCCAGAGUCGUGCUCAGUGCGAAAGGAAGUUGGAUUCCCGAGACAGCCAGGAUGUUGGCUUAGAAGCAGCCACCAUUUAAACAACGCGUAAUAGCGGACUGGUCGAGGAGUCCUGCGCCGAUAAUGAACGGGACUCAAGCACGACACCGAAGCGGUGGGUAGCAGCAAUGCUACGGUAGGAGAGCGUUGCGUGUGCGGCGAAGGGGUACGGGCAACGAGCCCUGGAGCGCACGCAAGUGAUUAUGCCGGAAUGAGUAGACGAUAAAACGGGUGAGAAUCCCGUUCGCCGUAAGCCUAAGGGUUCCUGGGGAAGGUAAAUCCGCCCAGGGUUAGCCGGUGCCUAACGUGAGGCCGAAAGGUGUAGCGGAUGGGGAGCAGGUUAAUAUUCCUGCGCUCCCGGCACAACACGGGACGUCGGACCGAGGUGGUGUAGGCUGAAUAGAUUGCCUCAGGGCGUUUAAGAUCCCGAUAUCCACCGGAGACCGACCGAGAAAACCGUGCCGGAAACCGUACUAAAACCGACACAGGUAGGCGAGAUGAAUAUUCUAAGGCGCUCGAGAGAACUCUCGUGAAGGAACUCUGCAAGCUAAAUCCGUAACUUCGGGAAAAGGAUUGCCCACGCGAGUGGGUCGCAGUGAAAAGGUUCUGGCGACUGUUUACUAAAAACACAGGUCUGUGCGAAGGCGUAAGCCGCGGUAUACAGACUGACGCCUGCCCGGUGCUGGUAAGUUAAGGGAGAGGGUUAGCCGUAAGGUGAAGCUCGCAACCGAAGCUCCAGUAAACGGCGGCCGUAACUAUGACGGUCCUAAGGUAGCGAAGUUCCUUGUCGGGUAAGUUCCGACCUGCAUGAAUGGCGUAACGACCGGAACACUGUCUCCACGAGAGACUCGGUGAAAUUGUAGUUGUCGUGAAGAUGCGACAUACCCGCAGCUAGACGGAAAGACCCCGUGAACCUUAACUGCAGCUUGGUAUUGGGUUUAGACCCAGCAUGCGUAGUGUAGGUGGGAGGCUAUGAACCGCGUAUUUCGGUACGCGGGGAGCCGACGAUGAAACACCACCCUUGCUGUGUUUGAAUUCUAACUUGUUGUCUGUAGCAACAGGGACCGUGCUAAGUGGGCAGUUUGAUUGGGGCGAUCUCCUCCCAAAAGGUAACAGAAAGUGUUGCCCUCCCUACUGGUGACAGUGGGCGAGUAAUUUGGCUAUAUGCUGGAACAUCCGAGGAUCUCAGGCUACGAGGCACCCGUAACGGUAACGGUACGGCGCCCGUGACAAUGCCGGAGUGCGGACAAUCAGCAGGAAAGACCGGGA